rnacentral:tRNA from 1 species
AGCCCUGGGGUGUAAACACGUUAGAUUGCAAAUCUAAAGAAGCAGAUUGACGUCUGCCGGGGCUU